AUCGUGACACCAAAUCGCCUGCACUGCAGCCGUCCCGCUAGACCACACGACCACCUGGGCUCUCAAUAAAAGAGCUUUCGGUGGGCAUGUGUUACCUUUCCACGUCAGUUUUAAUCUAGCGGCGUACUACAGUACAUGAUAUAUAAGGCAUGAAGAUGUUAUUGUUACAGAUCAGCUAAGUUAUCUAUAGUAAAGGAUCCUACAAAUUAAUGUAAGAUACAGUCACAGAAAAUAAUUAUAUUCAUAAGUACGUCUGAGUCAGUGACAACCCUACAACAGAUGUAUCCAUCGGAUCGCCAUCCAUGAUGUAGUACGCCGCUAGAUUAAAACUGACGUGGAAAGGUAACACAUGCCCACCGAAAGCUCUUUUAUUGAGAGCCCAGGUGGUCGUGUGGUCUAGCGGGACGGCUGCAGUGCAGGCGAUUUGGUGUCACGAUAUCACAGUAGCAUGGGUUCGAAUCCCGGCGAGGGAAGAACCAAAAAUUUGCGAAAGCAAAUUUACAGAUCUAACAUUG
rnacentral:lncRNA from 1 species